GACGAACGCUGGCGGCGUGCUUAACACAUGCAAGUCGAACGGAAAGGCCCUGCUUUUGUGGGGUGCUCGAGUGGCGAACGGGUGAGUAACACGUGAGUAACCUGCCCUUGACUUUGGGAUAACUUCAGGAAACUGGGGCUAAUACCGGAUAGGAGCUCCUGCUGCAUGGUGGGGGUUGGAAAGUUUCGGCGGUUGGGGGUGGACUCGCGGCUUAUCAGCUUGUUGGUGGGGUAGUGGCUUACCAAGGCUUUGACGGGUAGCCGGCCUGAGAGGGUGACCGGCCACAUUGGGACGGAGAUACGGCCCAGAUUCCUACGGGAGGCAGCAGUGGGAAAUAUUGAAAAAUGGGCGGAAGCCUGAUGCAGCAACGCCGCGUGCGGGAUGACGGCCUUCGGGUUGUAAACCGCUUUCGCCUGUGACGAAGCGUGAGUGACGGUAAUGGGUAAAGAAGCACCGGCUACUACGUG
rnacentral:rRNA from 1 species